UACAGAGGUCUCAACCGUUGUUCGGAUUCAUUGGGCGUAAAGGGUGCGUAGGCGGUUGCUUAAGUUUGGUGUGAAAUCUCCCGGCUCAACUGGGAGGGUGCGCCGAAUACUGAGUGACUCGAGUGCGGGAGAGGAGAGUGGAAUUCCUGGUGUAGCGGUGAAAUGCGUAGAUAUCAGGAGGAACACCGGUGGCGAAGGCGGGUCUCUGGGCCGAUACUGACGCUGAGGAGCGAAAGCGUGGGGAGCGAACAGG
rnacentral:rRNA from 1 species